UACGGCGGUCAUAGCGGGGGUGUAACAUCCGAUCCCAUCCCGAUCUCGGAAAUUAAGCCCUCCAGCGAUUCCUUAAGUACUGCUAUCUAGUGGGAACAAGGUGACGCUGCCGAUC
rnacentral:rRNA from 14 species